GACGAACGCUGGCGGCGUGCUUAACACAUGCAAGUCGAACGAUGAAGCUAGAGCUUGCUCUGGUGAAUUAGUGGCGAACGGGUGAGUAACACGUGAGUAACCUGCCCCGAACUCUGGGAUAACUGCUGGAAACGGUAGCUAAUACUGGAUACGACCUACGAAGGCAUCUUCUGUAGGUGGAAAGAAUUUCGGUUCGGGAUGGACUCGCGGCCUAUCAGCUUGUUGGUGAGGUAAUGGCUCACCAAGGCGACGACGGGUAGCCAGCCUGAGAGGGUGACCGGCCACACUGGGACUGAGACACGGCCCAGACUCCUACGGGAGGCAGCAGUGGGGAAUAUUGCACAAUGGGCGCAAGCCUGAUGCAGCAACGCCGCGUGAGGGAUGACGGCCUUCGGGUUGUAAACCUCUUUCAGUAGGGACGAAGCGAAAGUGACGGUACCUAAAGAAGAAGCACCGGCUAACUACGUGCCAGCCGCCGCGGUAA
rnacentral:rRNA from 1 species